rnacentral:rRNA from 1 species
UUCCGGUUGAUCCUGCCGGACCUGACUGCUAUCGGAUUGAUACUAAGCCAUGCGAGUCUUUGCAGUAAUGCAAGGCGGACUGCUCAGUAACACGUAGUCAACUUAACCUAUGGAUGGGUAUAACCUCGGGAAACUGAGAAUAAUUCCCAAUAGAUCAUUUAUCCUGGAAUGGUUAGUGAUUGAAAUGAUUCGUCGCCAUAGGAUAGGACUGCGGCCUAUCAGCUUGUUGGUGAGGUAAAGGCCCACCAAGGCUAUUACAGGUACGGGCUCUGAGAGGAGAAGCCCGGAGAUGGGUACUGAGACAAGGACCCAGGCCCUAUGGGGCGCAGCAGGCGAGAAAACUUUGCAAUGUGCGAAAGCACGACAAGGUUAAUCCGAGUGAUUUCUGCUAAAGAAAUCUUUUGCAAGUCAUAAAACCACUAGUGAAUAAGGGGUGGGCAAGUUCUGGUGUCAGCCGCCGCGGUAAAACCAGCACCUCAAGUGGUCAGGAGGAUUAUUGGGCCUAAAGCAUCCGUAGCCUGCUCUGUAAGUUUUCGGUUAAAUCCAUGUGCUCAACACAUGGGCUGCCGAAAAUACUGCAUAGCUAGGGAGUGGGAGAGGUAGACGGUACUCAGUAGGAAGGGGUAAAAUCCUUUGAUCUAUUGAUGACCACCUGUGGCGAAGGCGGUCUACCAGAACACGUUCGACGGUGAGGGAUGAAAGCUGGGGGAGCAAACCGGAUUAGAUACCCGGGUAGUCCCAGCUGUAAACGAUGCAGACUCGAUGAUGCAUUGGCAUAUAGCCAGUGCAGUGUCGCAGGGAAGCCGUUAAGUCUGCCGCCUGGGAAGUACGUACGCAAGUAUGAAACUUAAAGGAAUUGGCGGGGGAGCACCACAAGGGGUGAAGCCUGCGGUUCAAUUGGAUUCAACGCCGGG